rnacentral:lncRNA from 1 species
CUAGAGGUCAUCUCCAGCCUCAACGAGUCUGUGAUCCUAUAAGAGGGAUGGUGGGAAUGGGUUGGUGGUUGGAUUCGACAAUCGUAGAGGUCUUCUCCAACCUCAGUGAGUCUGUGAUCCUAUAAAAGGAAUGGUGGGGAUGGGAUGGUGGGUUUGUGUUGGUGGUUGGACUUGAUCAUAGAGGUCGUCUCCAACCUUAAUGAGUCUGUGACCCUAUAAGGGGGAUGGUGGGGAUGGGAUGAUCCUAUAAUUGAGGAUAUUUGGCGUGGGUCAACCAUCAGACUUGAUGAUCGUAGAGGUCGUCUCCAACCUCAGUGACUCUGAUCCUAUAAGAGGGAUGGUGGAAAUGGGAUGAUGGUUGGACUCAAUGGUUGUAGAGGUCUUCUCCAACCUCAGUGAGUCUGUGAUCCUAUAAGAGG